GAUGAAGAACGCAGCUAAAUGCGAUAAGUAAUGUGAAUUGCAGAAUUCAGUGAAUCAUCGAAUCUUUGAACGCACAUUGCGCCCGCCAGUAUUCUGGCGGGCAUGCCUGUUCGAGCGUCAUUACAACCCUCAGGCCCCCGGGCCUGGCGUUGGGGAUCGGCAGAAGCCCCCUGUGGGCACACGCCGUCCCUCAAAUACAGUGGCGGUCCCGCCGCAGCUUCCAUUGCGUAGUAGCUAACACCUCGCAACUGGAGAGCGGCGCGGCCAUGCCGUAAAACACCCAACUUCUGAAUGUUGACCUCGAAUCAGGUAGGAAUACCCGCUGAACUUAAGCAUAUCAAUAAGCGGAGGA
rnacentral:misc_RNA from 1 species